GAGGCAUUCCAGGAUUAAAGAAAAAUGCCCCUAUUCUAGAUGUCUGAUGGUUUGGAUACAUUCCACAUAUUUCCAAAGGGAUCUACCCAGCGCUUUUGGAGUGUUAGAAGAGGCCAGGAGAUCAAGCCUGUCAGCAGUUAUUAGGUAUCUGUCCAUUCCAGAACUAAUAUUUUCUACAACCAGAGACUGAAAUGGCAUGGCCGGAGUUUUAAGUAAUUUGGCUUUGACAGUUUCAGCCUUUGCUGAGAAGUUGGAACAGAAUUUGAACUCCAUUUCUGCACUGUCCUAGGUUAUAAUGCCAUCCUUUCCUAAUGAGGGAGAUAACCGUGGAACUGCUCCUCUGACUUUGAGUUCAGAACUACCCUAUCAGAGCACAAUUAAAAGAAAAGUCAGAAAGAAGAAGAAGAAGAAUGGAGUUAUCACUGCCAAUAUUGCUGGCACGAAAUAUGAAAUUGUGCGUAUAGUAAUACAAGAGAUGGGAUUUGUGAAAACGCGUGAUGAGGAUGAAACAGCAAAUCUGAUCUGGAGCGAUUGUGCUGUGCAGCAAGAGAAGAUUGCUGAGCUGCAGAACUAUCAGAGAAUCAACCAUUUUCCAGGAAUGGGAGAGAUAUGCAGAAAGGAUUUUCUGGCAAGAAACAUGACUAAAAUGAUCAAGAGUCAGCCUCAGGAGUACAGUUUCAUUCCUCGAACGUGGAUCUUUCCUGCAGAGUACACACAGUUUCAGAACUAUGUAAAAGAAUUGAAGAAGAAACGUAGACAGAAAACUUUCAUAGUCAAACCAGCUAAUGGUGCAAUGGGACAUGGGAUCUCUUUAAUAAGAAAUGGAGAAAAGUUACAAGCUCAGGAUCACUUAAUUGUUCAGGAAUAUCUUGACAAACCAUUUCUCAUGGAAGGCUACAAGUUCGAUUUACGUGUGUAUAUUCUUGUGACCUCCUGUGAUCCAUUAAAAAUAUUUUUAUAUCAUGAUGGACUGGUGAGAAUGGGCACAGAGAAGUAUCACCCCCCCAGUGACUCAAAUUUGAGUCAAUUGUAUAUGCAUCUGACUAACUACUCUGUCAAUAAACAUAAUGAGCACUUUGAACGGGAUGAAACAGAAGACAAAGGAAGCAAACGCUCCAUAAAAUGGUUUACUGAGUUUCUAGAAACAAAUAAUCUUGAUGUCUCCAAAUUCUGGAGUGAUAUUUCAGAGCUGGUGGUGAAGACUCUGAUAGUGGCGGAGCCGCACGUGCUGCACGCCUAUCGCAUGUGCAGGCCGGGGCAAGCUCCAGGCAGCGACAGUGUCUGCUUUGAAGUCCUGGGAUUUGAUAUUCUGCUGGACAGAAAACUAAAACCAUGGCUCCUAGAGAUUAAUCGUGCCCCAAGCUUUGGAACGGAUCAAAAAAUAGACUAUGUUGUAAAAAAAGGUGUUCUGCUAAAUGCAUUGAAGCUUCUCAACAUACGGACAAGUGAUAAAAGGAAGAAUUUAGCCCAACAGAAGGCUGAGGCUCAAAAAAGAUUGUAUGGUCAAGGGUCAGUGAAAAAACUGCUGCCAGGUUCCUCAGACUGGGAGAAGCAGCGCCACACACUGGAAAGGAGAAAACAAGAACUGAAGGAAAGACUUGCACAAGUACGUAAACAGAUUUCCAAAGAGGAGCAUGAAAAUAGACACAUGGGGAAUUACAGGCGAAUUUACCCUCCUGAUGAUAAGACAUUACUUGAAAAGUAUGAGAGUUUGCUAGCCACUGCUUUCCAGACGUUUCUUUCUGGAAGAGCAGCUUCGCUUCAGCGGGAAAUGAAUAACCCCUUAAAAAGAAUGAAGGAGGAGGACAUUUUGGAUCUUCUGGAGCAGUGUGAAAUAGAUGAUGAAAAACUAACAGGAAAAUGCCCCAGGCAGCGAGGACCUAAGCCCUUGUGUUCAAUGCCAGAAAGUGCACAUUCCUUAAGGAAACAUAAGAACCACAGCAGUGACAGUAGCUGUGAUAGUGACAGCAGUGUGUCAGACUCGGGAGAAGAAACUGAAAAGGAAGAUCACAAUGAAAAAAAAGAGAAAAAAGUUUCAUAUGAUGUUGAAGAAAAUAAAUACAAAUCUUUGGAACGAUCAGGUAGAAUGAACUGCAAACCUUCAAAUAAAAAUGUAAAGUCUCCAUCAUAUUCGUCCCCCACAUCAUCCACAGGUCCAAUCCGGCGUUCUGUGAGCUGCCCUCGCUCCAUAUCAGUCCUCUCUAUGCAGUCCCAGGGAGCGGAGCCGCGCCCCUUCUCAGCCAAAGCAGCUCUCCAAAUGCAGCGAACAGCCUCUGUGAACAGGUCCCACUCCUUGAGUCGUAGCCCAUCUUCAGCCAGAUUCUCUCAGACAGCCACCUCGGGAACUAUGAACUCUUCAGGGUCAGCUAAUAGAAUUGGAAAGACAUUAAGAUUGUGUCUUCACAACAACGUGUUAAAGAGUGAGUCUUUGCUGCAACAGAAAACAAAAGAGCAAGAAGUUGCUUUGACAAAAGAGACUCUUCUCCGUAUCAAUGACUUGAAAGUAAGGUUCCCAGGAAAAACAAAUGAAGAAUCUGAAUUAAUUAUAGAAGAUAUUAUGGACAAUUGGAAGUAUCAUAAAACAAAAGUCUCAUCCUAUUGGUUGGUAAAACUGGAUUCAGCAAAACAACGAAAAGUUUUGGAUAUAGUCAGGACAAGUGUCCGUGCAGUUCUACAGCACGUCUGGAAAGCUCCAGACAUUGAAAAUCUCCAUCUGUACCGUCUUUUUAACCGGCUGUUUAAUCGCUUACUUUGGAGCCACGGCCAAGGCCUAUGGAACUGUUUCUGUAAUUCAGGGAGCUCUUGGGAAACCACAUUUAGUAAAGGCUCAGAGGCGCUGACUCCGGAGCAGCUCCAGUGCUGCCAGCGAAUAGUUCAGCUUUGUAAACACUGCCUGCUGGUAGUUUACAAACACUCAUCAGAUGCAAGAGGAUCCCCAACUGGGAUGAGCCACCACUGGGAUGAUACAAGAUCCCUCAAAGUCAGUGUUUCCAGAUUUGCAUUCCUAGAGGUAUCCUAACAUGUCAGAUACUUCUGGCUUCACAUUCGCAGUGGGCUGCCAUAGGGGCACAGCUCCAGCCAAGGGUCAGGUGUUUAUUGCCAAGACCUUCACUGUUCAUCCUGAAACCAUCCUCAUCCAAACUUAGCUGCAGUCCAUCUGGAUCGCCUCGCCCUAACCUUUUGUUCACACACAGAUACAGCCACUUGUGAAGUAAAAGGAAAUUGCUGUUGUAAAUAAUAGCAAUUUCUUUUUUUUUUUUUAAACUUGUGAUGGAGCUAAACAUAAGCACUGUUAUAUAUUUCUUACCAUCGUAUUAUAAUAAAAUUUAGCUGAAAACCUACUGUAAAAGCAUAGCUUUUCUGGGAACAUAAUAAACCUUGUUAAGUUGUUUACACACACAUGUGAAUGUGUAGAUCUUGCUAGGUUUAUAAGUAACUCCUUCCUACUAGAAAUGUUAUUUUUGCUGCAGAAUAUAUAAAAUGAAAUUGUUCUGGAAGAUUCUAUACAGUAUUACAUUAUUUUGUAAGUACAAUACUUUGACUUGAAAAUUAUUUAUUGUAAACUGUAUUAUUAUUUAUUGUCUCAAAUGUCCUUUAACAAAGCAGAUAAUUAGAAAACUCUUGCAGAAGAGUAAAUCUGUAACAGUUAUCAAAAAUAAUUUGAUCAUGGAUAUGUUAUCAAAAAUAAUCUGUUCUUGGAUAUGUUUAAAAUAAACCCCAAAAUUCUGUAAGCCAAAUCUAAAGCAGACAUAUUUUUAUUUCUCCUCUGAAAUGACAAGAUCUAUUUAAUACUGCUAUUUUUCUUAAAGGACAUGAUAUAGUAUCCUUUAGCCAAAGUGAAGGCAUCUAGUACUCAAACAGUAAAAUAUCAGUUUAGGCAUUCACUUCCUAAUUGGAUUCUUGUAAUAAAAUGGAAGCCAAUGUUUGUUUCCAGGUUUUCAUUCACAUUACCUGUAUCCUGUGCCUUUAGGUUUCCUUUGGGAGCAAGCAGUCAUCCUCAGCUCCACACGCAUGCAUAGUGCAUAGUUUUUCUGUUACACUGCCUAAGUGGUAAAGCAGACAUUUUUAGGAAAUACUGCAGCUGUAAUGUAUUAUUUAAAACUUACACUAAUUGGUUUGUUGUAGUUUUUAGCAUGCAAUCCAGUACCUACUGUAGAAUGUAUCUUUGCAAUGGACAGUAUUUUCUAGAUUGCUGACACCUUUAAAUGUUGGAAAUCUAAUUCACUAGAAAGCUCUCAUUCAGGUCUAGAUUCCUGAGACUGGCUGAACAGCACAAAACCAAAAUGAGCCAGAGCAGGAACCUAGUAUUUACAGGAUUUGUAGCCUGAAAACAUCAUUUGGGUUUUGAUACAUACAGCCAUUUAUCCCACUCAGCAUUGUGCCAUGUGAGCCUUAUUCAUUAGAGAAAUAAUUAUUAAAGAAAUCAGUUACUCUAGAUCUAAAAAUAAUUGAGUUUUUUAUUUGAGUGAAGAGCAGAGUAGUUAUUAUUUACCAAAGACUCGUGUACUUACGAAUCAUUUAACCCUGAAAUGUGUUUUUAAAUUAUCAAUGUAUUUCAGGUAUACUUUAAAAAUAAUUUGGGGGCUAAUUAUCCUCAGGAGCAAAUAUGUUAGUGUUUUUUGAUAUCCAACAAUUUAAGACAAAAUUUAAGAGACUUAAGAGAUUUCAGACUGAAGUUGUAUGGAAAUUAUUUUUUAAGAAGUUUUAGUCAUAGGAUAUAUAAAAACUGGAAAUUUGGUUGAGAUUUUUGAUGCCUGUGCUGUAGUGCCUCAGCUCUAGAAUUGCAGAAUAUAUAACAAGAAUAUUUGUAAACAAAUAAAAAUACCCUCUUGCAAUUACCAGAUCAAAUCAGUCUUUUGGUCUGGUAAAGUCUUUUUAAUUUUGUGGUAAUAAUAGUUCAGUAAUAUAGUAUGUUCACAUUAAUUGUAUGUCUCUUUUGAUCCAUACAGUGACUAUUAAUGCAUACUCUGGUUAUCUGUAACAUCUAAUAAAAGCUGUAAAUUUUCUCUUCUUGGAGGAGGCUUCCAUUGCAUUCUACUUUUGGCCAUAAGGAUAAGAUCAGCUUCCAGCUUAGCUUGCCAGACUCUAACAGAGCUUUAGGACAGGAGGUUCACAUGUCUUUUUAUUCCUAAACUUCACUAUAUGAUUUCUAUUUUCGAAUGCCAGUGCUGGGCCAGGUCAGUCUGUACAGAAUACUCUGCCAAAAGAAAGAGGGCUACUAACCAUACCUAUGGACAAAUCUAGGAAAAAAAAAUUCAUUUAGCAUGUACAAAAGUGGACCAGAUGGUGGUUUACAUCUGACAUGACUUAAUAUAUUUGUAUGUCUGAUAACCUUUCCUAAAGUGGUCAUGUGUUCCUAAUAUAAUGUGUGAAUCAAUACCUUUAAUAAACAUCAUGCUACACUUG